UACGGAGGGUGCAAGCGUUGUUCGGAAUCAUUGGGCGUAAAGCGCGUGUAGGCGGCUUGGCAAGUCGGGUGUGAAAUCCCGGGGCCCAACCCCGGAACUGCAUUCGAAACUGCCUCGCUAGAGUCCCGGAGAGGAAGGCGGAAUUCCCGGUGUAGAGGUGAAAUUCGUAGAUAUCGGGAGGAACACCAGCGGCGAAGGCUGCCUUCUGGACGGUGACUGACGCUCAGACGCGAAAGCGUGGGGAGCAAACAGG
rnacentral:rRNA from 1 species